GUGGCGAGGGCGGGUGUCCAGCGCCAAUCAGGCCCUUGAAGCCCCCUCCCCGCGGCCCAGACUCUGUAUCUCAGUCCUGCCGGCCACGGCCUGAGGCUAGAGUCCGAACCCCAGCGGGCCUGGUGCUUAUUGACAGGGUGGCCGCGGGUGACUCGGUGUCGGACUCAGCGUGGCCUCGGCUACGCCCCCACUUCCUGCAGAGGUGCAGGCUCCGCCUGCCGCGCGGGGCAGGAAAGGGGGUCGCACUGGGACCCUCCCCGGGCUGGGAAGGGGCAGGAAAGGGGAGGGGCGCGCGAAGAAUGUGCGGAAGCGCCUGUUUACCCAGGGGUGGGGCGGGGUCCCCAGCCCUGUCCUGACCUCCUCCCCCCAAGUGGGCCAGGAGCUCCCACGCCCACACCCCAAGAGGCCGUAGGAGGUCACGGGGCGGGGCGGGGUGCGUGCUUUGAGCCCAGCGGAGCUGCCUGGCAGGCCCGGCCUGUGCAGGUUGGGCUCCCCACACCGGCCCGCCCCGCGGAAGCUGCUCCCCUCCAGCCCCCACCCGCUCCGAGGCGCCCAGACGCCAGAGCCCUCCCGGUGCCCAGAGCCGGGGGAUUCCCAGGGUGGGGGGCAGUGCCGAGAAGUGCCCCGCCCCCUCCACUUUCCUGAGACUCCAACCGGGAAACUGAGUCACAGACAGCAGCCUUCACCCGUGACCUUAGCAGGAAGAGAUCCUCCGCAGACCCCCACACCGCUCCGGCGAAACACGCGCCCCAGGCCCCCAGAACGCGGCCCGCAGCCCCCUGGGACCAGCCCCGGAGCCUCCGCAGUCCCGGACCAGGUCCUACCUCUCUUCUUGGAGUUCAUGGUGCUAGAUCCUGAAGGACGCAAGAUGCGCUCCCCGCGUCGCUGCGUAAGGCUGCACGAGUCCUGUCUGGGACACCAGGUACCAUGCUGCGACCCAUGUGCCACGUGCUACUGCCGUUUCUUCAACGCCUUCU